rnacentral:rRNA from 1 species
UACAGAGGUCCCAAGCGUUGUUCGGAUUCACUGGGCGUAAAGGGCGCGCAGGCGGCUGCUCAAGUCAGGCGUGAAAGGCCUGGGCUCAACCCGGGAAUUGCGCUUGAGACUGGGCUGGCUUGAGUGCGGGAGAGGAUGGUGGAAUUCCCAGUGUAGAGGUGAAAUUCGUAGAUAUUGGGAAGAACACCGGUGGCGAAGGCGGUUUCCUGGCCCAGUACUGACGCUGAGGCACGAAAGCGUGGGGAGCGAACGGG